GAAUAUUGGUCAAUGGAGGCAACUCUGAACCAGCCAUGCCGCGUGCAGGAAGACGGCCCUAUGGGUUGUAAACUGCUUUUAUUCGGGAAUAAACCCUUUUACGUGUAAGAGGUUGAAUGUACCGAAAGAAUAAGGAUCGGCUAACUCCGUGCCAGCAGCCGCGGUAAUACGGAGGAUCCAAGCGUUAUCCGGAUUUAUUGGGUUUAAAGGGUGCGUAGGCGGCUUAUUAAGUCAGGGGUGAAAGACGGUGGCUCAACCAUCGCAGUGCCUUUGAUACUGAUGAGCUUGAAUACACUUGAGGUAGGCGGAAUGUGACAAGUAGCGGUGAAAUGCAUAGAUAUGUCACAGAACACCAAUUGCGAAGGCAGCUUACUAAGGUGCAAUUGACGCUGAGGCACGAAAGCGUGGGGAUCAAACAGG
rnacentral:rRNA from 1 species